UCAGUUCCUUCACAUUGAGCUUCUUCUAUCUCCUAUUCUCUCCUCCUUCCACACUUCGAUAAUAUUUUACUUCAUCAUUCGUCUCACCUCCAUAUUCUUACUCCUAUCUCCACUGCUCAUGGCUCUCCUAUCUCCACCGCUCACCUCAUCCUCUUAUCUCUUCUGCUCACCUCAUCCUUUUAGAUUCACCGCUCACGGCUCUUAUGCCUCCACCGCUCAUCACUCACGACUUCCUCCUAUCUCCACCGCUCACAGCUUCUAUCGCCGCUCACUCUCCUGUUCCAUCUCUAGCUAUCAAUCGAGAUUCAAUCCCCUCAGGCUCCGGAAUCCCGCCAAGAGAGACGGUCUUGAAGCGACCGGAGCAAAAUGACGGCACUUCAGUUCCAGGCAUACCUUGACGGCGCAAGACACGAAGGGCAUGAAGAUUUUUUAUUUAUUUAGGUUUAGGUUUGUAUUGUAAUCCAUUUUAUGUUUAAACCGGUUUAGUUUGUUAACCAAAUUUAAUUGUAACCCAG
rnacentral:lncRNA from 1 species